UACAGAGGGUGCAAGCGUUGCUCGGAUUUACUGGGCGUAAAGCGUACGCAGACGGUGAGAAAGGUCGGAUGUGAAAGCCCCGGGCUCAACCCGGGAACUGCAUCCGAAACCAUCUCGCUCGAGUGUGGGAGAGGGAAGCGGAAUUCCUGGUGUAGAGGUGAAAUUCGUAGAUAUCAGGAGGAACACCGGCGGCGAAGGCGGCUUCCUGGCCCAUUACUGACGCUGAGACGCGAAAGCGUGGGGAGCAAACAGG
rnacentral:rRNA from 1 species